GCUCCGGUGGUCUAGUGGUUAGAGCGCCCGUCUCGGAUGCGGGAGGUCGCGGGUUCGAACCAGUGUUAGGACU